rnacentral:rRNA from 1 species
GGCAAGCGUUGUCCGGAAUUAUUGGGCGUAAAGCGCGCGCAGGCGGUCCUUUAAGUCUGAUGUGAAAGCCCACGGCUCAACCGUGGAGGGUCAUUGGAAACUGGGGGACUUGAGUACAGAAGAGGAAAGCGGAAUUCCACGUGUAGCGGUGAAAUGCGUAGAGAUGUGGAGGAACACCAGUGGCGAAGGCGGCUUUCUGGUCUGUAACUGACGCUGAGGCGCGAAAGCGUGGGGAGCAAACAGGAUUAGAUACCCUGGUAGUCCACGCCGUAAACGAUGAGUGCUAAGUGUUGGGGGGUUUCCGCCCCUCAGUGCUGCAGCUAACGCAUUAAGCACUCCGCCUGGGGAGUACGGUCGCAAGACUGAAACUCAAAGGAAUUGACGGGGGCCCGCACAAGCGGUGGAGCAUGAGGUUUAAUUCGAAGCAACGCGAAGAACCUUACCAGGUCUUGACAUCCCGGUGACCACUAUGGAGACAUAGUUUCCCCUUCGGGGGCAACGGU